rnacentral:rRNA from 1 species
UUAAGCGACUAAGCGUACACGGUGGAUGCCCUGGCAGUCAGAGGCGAUGAAGGACGUGCUAAUCUGCGAUAAGCGUCGGUGAGGUGAUAUGAACCGUUAUAACCGGCGAUUUCCGAAUGGGGAAACCCAGUGUGUUUCGACACACUAUCAUUAACUGAAUCCAUAGGUUAAUGAGGCGAACCGGGGGAACUGAAACAUCUAAGUACCCCGAGGAAAAGAAAUCAACCGAGAUUCCCCCAGUAGCGGCGAGCGAACGGGGAGGAGCCCAGAGCCUGAAUCAGUGUGUGUGUUAGUGGAAGCGUCUGGAAAGGCGUGCGAUACAGGGUGACAGCCCCGUACACAAAAAUGCACAUAUUGUGAGCUCGAUGAGUAGGGCGGGACACGUGGUAUCCUGUCUGAAUAUGGGGGACCAUCCUCCAAGGCUAAAUACUCCUGACUGACCGAUAGUGAACCAGUACCGUGAGGGAAAGGCGAAAAGAACCCCGGCGAGGGGAGUGAAAAAGAACCUGAAACCGUGUACGUACAAGCAGUGGGAGCCUCUUAAUGGGGUGACUGCGUACCUUUUGUAUAAUGGGUCAGCGACUUAUAUUCUGUAGCAAGGUUAACCGAAUAGGGGAGCCGAAGGGAAACCGAGUCUUAACUGGGCGUUAAGUUGCAGGGUAUAGACCCGAAACCCGGUGAUCUAGCCAUGGGCAGGUUGAAGGUUGGGUAACACUAACUGGAGGACCGAACCGACUAAUGUUGAAAAAUUAGCGGAUGACUUGUGGCUGGGGGUGAAAGGCCAAUCAAACCGGGAGAUAGCUGGUUCUCCCCGAAAGCUAUUUAGGUAGCGCCUCGUGAAUUCAUCUCCGGGGGUAGUGCACUGUUUCGGCAAGGGGGUCAUCCCGACUUACCAACCCGAUGCAAACUGCGAAUACCGGAGAAUGUUAUCACGGGAGACACACGGCGGGUGCUAACGUCCGUCGUGAAGAGGGAAACAACCCAGACCGCCAGCUAAGGUCCCAAAGUCAUGGUUAAGUGGGAAACGAUGUGGGAAGGCCCAGACAGCCAGGAUGUUGGCUUAGAAGCAGCCAUCAUUUAAAGAAAGCGUAAUAGCUCACUGGUCGAGUCGGCCUGCGCGGAAGAUGUAACGGGGCUAAACCAUGCACCGAAGCUGCGGCAGCGACACUAUGUGUUGUUGGGUAGGGGAGCGUUCUGUAAGCCUGUGAAGGUGGCCUGUGAGGGUUGCUGGAGGUAUCAGAAGUGCGAAUGCUGACAUAAGUAACGAUAAAGCGGGUGAAAAGCCCGCUCGCCGGAAGACCAAGGGUUCCUGUCCAACGUUAAUCGGGGCAGGGUGAGUCGACCCCUAAGGCGAGGCCGAAAGGCGUAGUCGAUGGGAAACAGGUUAAUAUUCCUGUACUUGGUGUUACUGCGAAGGGGGGACGGAGAAGGCUAUGUUGGCCGGGCGACGGUUGUCCCGGUUUAAGCGUGUAGGCUGGUUUUCCAGGCAAAUCCGGAAAAUCAAGGCUGAGGCGUGAUGACGAGGCACUACGGUGCUGAAGCGACAAAUGCCCUGCUUCCAGGAAAAGCCUCUAAGCAUCAGGUAACAUCAAAUCGUACCCCAAACCGACACAGGUGGUCAGGUAGAGAAUACCAAGGCGCUUGAGAGAACUCGGGUGAAGGAACUAGGCAAAAUGGUGCCGUAACUUCGGGAGAAGGCACGCUGAUAUGUAGGUGAAGCGACUUGCUCGUGGAGCUGAAAUCAGUCGAAGAUACCAGCUGGCUGCAACUGUUUAUUAAAAACACAGCACUGUGCAAACACGAAAGUGGACGUAUACGGUGUGACGCCUGCCCGGUGCCGGAAGGUUAAUUGAUGGGGUUAGCGGCAACGCGAAGCUCUUGAUCGAAGCCCCGGUAAACGGCGGCCGUAACUAUAACGGUCCUAAGGUAGCGAAAUUCCUUGUCGGGUAAGUUCCGACCUGCACGAAUGGCGUAAUGAUGGCCAGGCUGUCUCCACCCGAGACUCAGUGAAAUUGAACUCGCUGUGAAGAUGCAGUGUACCCGCGGCAAGACGGAAAGACCCCGUGAACCUUUACUAUAGCUUGACACUGAACAUUGAGCCUUGAUGUGUAGGAUAGGUGGGAGGCUUUGAAGUGUGGACGCCAGUCUGCAUGGAGCCGACCUUGAAAUACCACCCUUUAAUGUUUGAUGUUCUAACGUUGGCCCGUAAUCCGGGUUGCGGACAGUGUCUGGUGGGUAGUUUGACUGGGGCGGUCUCCUCCUAAAGAGUAACGGAGGAGCACGAAGGUUGGCUAAUCCUGGUCGGACAUCAGGAGGUUAGUGCAAUGGCAUAAGCCAGCUUGACUGCGAGCGUGACGGCGCGAGCAGGUGCGAAAGCAGGUCAUAGUGAUCCGGUGGUUCUGAAUGGAAGGGCCAUCGCUCAACGGAUAAAAGGUACUCCGGGGAUAACAGGCUGAUACCGCCCAAGAGUUCAUAUCGACGGCGGUGUUUGGCACCUCGAUGUCGGCUCAUCACAUCCUGGGGCUGAAGUAGGUCCCAAGGGUAUGGCUGUUCGCCAUUUAAAGUGGUACGCGAGCUGGGUUUAGAACGUCGUGAGACAGUUCGGUCCCUAUCUGCCGUGGGCGCUGGAGAACUGAGGGGGGCUGCUCCUAGUACGAGAGGACCGGAGUGGACGCAUCACUGGUGUUCGGGUUGUCAUGCCAAUGGCACUGCCCGGUAGCUAAAUGCGGAAGAGAUAAGUGCUGAAAGCAUCUAAGCACGAAACUUGCCCCGAGAUGAGUUCUCCCUGACCCUUUAAGGGUCCUGAAGGAACGUUGAAGACGACGACGUUGAUAGGCCGGGUGUGUAAGCGCAGCGAUGCGUUGAGCUAACCGGUACUAAUGAACCGUGAGGCUUAACCUU